GACGAACGCUGCGGCGUGCCUAAUACAUGCAAGUAGAACGCUGAAGCUUGGUGCUUGCACCGAGCGGAUGAGUUGCGAACGGGUGAGUAACGCGUAGGUAACCUGCCUGGUAGCGGGGGAUAACUAUUGGAAACGAUAGCUAAUACCGCAUAAAAUGGAUUAUCGCAUGAUAAUUCAUUGAAAGGUGCAAAUGCAUCACUACCAGAUGGACCUGCGUUGUAUUAGCUAGUUGGUGGGGUAACGGCUCACCAAGGCGACGAUACAUAGCCGACCUGAGAGGGUGAUCGGCCACACUGGGACUGAGACACGGCCCAGACUCCUACGGGAGGCAGCAGUAGGGAAUCUUCGGCAAUGGACGGAAGUCUGACCGAGCAACGCCGCGUGAGUGAAGAAGGUUUUCGGAUCGUAAAGCUCUGUUGUAAGAGAAGAACGAGUGUGAGAGUGGAAAGUUCACACUGUGACGGUAUCUUACCAGAAAGGGAC
rnacentral:rRNA from 1 species